rnacentral:rRNA from 1 species
GUGUCAGCCGCCGCGGUAAUACGUAGGGGGCUAGCGUUGUCCGGAAUCACUGGGCGUAAAGGGUUCGCAGGCGGAAUAACAAGUCAGAUGUGAAAGGCAUGGGCUCAACCCAUGUAAGCAUUUGAAACUGUAAUUCUUGAGAAGUGGAGAGGUAAGUGGAAUUCCUAGUGUAGCGGUGAAAUGCGUAGAUAUUAGGAGGAAUACCUGUGGCGAAGGCGACUUACUGGACACAAAUCUGACGCUGAGGAACGAAAGCGUGGGUAGCAAACAGGAUUAGAAACCCCCGUAGUCC